rnacentral:snoRNA from 1 species
AAACGAAGGUAUUUGCUGUCCUGAUAUUGUGAUAAUCAGGGCAGGGUCAACUGUAUUAAGACUACACAUGUGUUCCUAAACCUAGUACUUCCCCUGUUGUUGUCAGGA